UUCUAUCAACGGCCCGAGUGGCUAAACUUUUAUACACGUGUGUGUUUAAAAUGUGACAAUCAUUAAAAACUCCAGUAGUUGAAUUAUGUUUAUUUUGAAUUUCUUGUUUAUAUGGCAGAGUCGAAUCAAAACUAUAUGAAAACAUUUGUUUGCCGUUCUAUUGCAUCAUUCACACAUUGCACCACUCGAGGGAAAAUGCCAACAACUCAGAAGUCAACACCAACCUCCAAAACACAUUUAGCGUUUUUUUAAAAUUUCUAUGUUGAUACGCUUCACUGCACAAUAUUUUCACACUCGAAUAAUUUUGUAAGGUCGCGACAUCGACAUCACGUACACACAAUAUACAAUUCAAUUCUGAUUAAAUCGCAGUUUUGCAGUAUUUGCAGCCAAUCUUUGGCGUGUAUGGAACCUGUACGUCUAUAAAU